GGGGGUGUAGCUCAGUUGGCUAGAGCGCUACGUUCGCAACGUAGAGGUCGGCGGUUCGAUUCCGCUCACCUCCACUA
rnacentral:tRNA from 2 species